rnacentral:rRNA from 1 species
CCUACGGGAGGCAGCAGUAAGGAAUAUUGGACAAUGCUCGCAAGAGUGAUCCAGCCAUGCCGCGUGCAGGAAGAAUGCCCUAUGGGUAGUAAACUGCUUUUGAACUAGAGAAAACCCCAGUACGUGUACUGGGCUGAUAGUAUAGUUAGAAUAAGCAUCGGCUAACUUCGUGCCAGCAGCCGCGGUAAGACGAAGGAUGCAAGCGUUAUCCGGAUUCAUUGGGUUUAAAGGGAGCGUAGGUGGACUGAUAAGUCAGUGGUGAAAUCUCCGAGCUUAACUCGGAAAUUGCCAUUGAUACUGUUGGUCUUGAGUACAGUUGCUGUGGGCGGAAUAUGACAUGUAGUGGUGAAAUACAUAGAGAUGUCAUAGAACACCGAUUGCGAAGGCAGCUCACAAAGCUGUAACUGACACUGAGGCUCGAAAGUGCGGGGAUCAAACAGGAUUAGAUACCCUGGUAGUCCGCACCGUAAACGAUNAUACUCNCNNGUGGCGACGUUAGUGUGU